GUUCACCAACAAAGCUCGCCUGUCUUUUCAUAACCAGCCAUAGAAGAAAAGAAAAACUCGAGAAAGGCGUUUGUCUCGCUUCGCCUACCGGAAAAAUUUAAAGAGGUCUGCUUUAAUUUCCUGUUGCUUUGGUCAAAAUUGGAUGAGCUCAUCUCUAAUCUAUUCGGAUAGCAGAGUCGUAUUACGUGAAAGUAAUUGAUUGGUAGAUAGGAGAAGAAAUUCAAGUCUAAUGCCGGAAGAGGAUUUAGUUGAUAUAAAAUUUAGGCUUUACGAUGGGUCCGAUAUCGGGCCGUUCCGGUAUUCAACGGCAUCGACGGUGGAUAUGCUUAAGCAAAGAAUUGUAUCCGAUUGGCCGAAAGGUUUACCAGCUAUCUCUCUUUCGUUGCUAUUUCUCUUUGAAUUGACUGUUUUGAGCUUUUUCUCUCUCUGGGACUUUCUCUUUUAUUUGUUAGUAUUAUCGAUUGAAUUGGCUAUAUGAAAUACUUGAAGUUUUUUUAAUAUUUGUAUCUAAAUUCCCAACUUUGGGGAGAAUAUAUAUAUUUUUUAAAAUUUUUUUGAUAAUUUAGUGUAAUUUCUAUCAUAAUUGCCUAAUUUGAAAAUUUUAUGGUCCUAAAGAAAUUAUUAGGACUCAGUACUCAAAGUUCCAAAUUUGGUCCAGCAGUUUUGGCUGUGAUUUAAAUUAUUAUGUAAACAGAUAGAAGCCUUGGAAAUUAUAAGGCUAUAUAAACUGGAAGGAGUAAAAACAUGCAGGUUGGAUAAUGUAAACAACAGAAGCCUUGGAAAUUAUGAGGCUUUACAAGCCUCUCAAACUAUGAAUUGCGUUAAUAACACAAUUCUUUGUUACGCUCUGUUCGAACUAUGCUCAUCCAUGUGAACCCUGCUUUGUCAAUACUUUUCCUCCUGCACCAGGAAAGCAUGAUCAAGUGUUAAAUACGGAUAGAAAAGAUAAUAGGUCUCUUCUGGCUGGAAAAAAUUACUGAAUUUUAGGUUAUCUUUCAUCCAACAAUUUUCUUUUCUUGGUGUUAUACAUAUGUUUUUCUAAAUGCCUGCCUCUUCGACAUCCUUUCUUAGGUAAAACAGUUACUCCAAAGGCAGUGAAUGAAGUGAAAUUGAUUAGCUCUGGUAAAAUUUUAGAUAACAGCAAAACUGUUGGCCAGUGUAGAACACCUUUAGGCGAAGUUGCUGGGGGAAUCAUCAUAAUGCAUGUUGUUGUACAGCCAUCUCUAGCAAAAGUGAAAACAGGUAUAUCCUGCCUCAAUCAUCUUCCCACAUAACUUCCUCUCUCCUCCCAAUUCUUAUGCAGCUUAGCUCAGUGGUUAUAUAUAUACUUGAUGGAAUUGAAUGAGAUAGUCUGACUGCUGUUUUUUGGACUUGGGUAUUUUCUGAGAGAUGGGAGAUUGAAAAUAUUGUGAAGCCAGUGUUUUAGCUGGCAAUUUCAUAUUCAUUCAUUUGACAUGUAUGUUGUGAUAGACAGUUUUUAGAUAUAGAUAAGAGCUUUCACAUUAUUAGAGUUGCAUGGUUCUGGCAGUGUUUGUGUACUUGACAAUGUUGAAAUGUUUUCAAUCAUAUAUCAAUGAGGAAGAUGCAAAUGUCUCACAAUGGUACUUAAACUAUAUAGGUGAAAGAAAUGUUAUGUGGACUUGACUGGAUGGGUUCUAUUUGCCAAUAUCGGAGGGCUGUUUUCUUCUACUUUUAAUUUUCUCAUGCAUUUUCCUUGCCUUCUAGUAUCUUUCUAGAUUUAUUUGCAGAACACAUUUAUAAUGAACAGUUGAGGCCCAAAUUAUAACUAUAUAGACUGUGAUAAUGAAAUGUGACUCAAAACUAAGUUCAACGAAACUCGGGCUUUUCAUUUUCCUUGAAAGAUGUUCUCCUCAUGCACUGGGACACCCUUUAUUUCUCAUUUAGUUGUCUGAUGGUCAAGUGCCUGUCUGGAUUCCCUUGUCAAAUAAUUCCAUUAGGUGAUCACUUUUAGGGUGAAAUUAUUACUUAGGACCAGGAACAAUGCUACUUCCAGAGACCAACCAUUUUGCUUCUAAUGAAAGUUUGGAACUGUUUUAAGUGUUGUAUUCCAUGCUCCUGAAGUACAUACUAGCAUUUAGUUUACUUAAAAAUAUCAUAACAUGUAUGUGUCAUCUGUUGACAUUCCAAAUAACCGUUGCUUUCUUUGUUUGUUUGAGUCCUUAAGGACCUCAACUAGUCUACUUCUUAAUUUGGCAUCAAUUGUUGAUCAGCCUAGAAUAUUGAAAAUUACCUUUUCUGAUAUUGUAUAAUUCCACUCAUUCUUCUAAUGCUUGUUAUUUUCCUUUUAUGCCUUACUGCCCUCGAUUUGAAUUUGAUGUCGCCAAAACUUCUCAUUUUAGCAUCUUAUAGUACUUGCUUUGCUUGUUCUUAAAGCUUUUAGGGCUAUAAUUUGGAGAUUGAUGCGUUCUUGUAUUUUCUUUAAGCUUGUUGCUCAAAGCUCUCAUGUUGACAAAUUCUUGUUGACUUUUUUGAACAGAAAAGAAGAUUAAUAAUUCUCCCAGGAAACUUGUGUGCUCAUGUUCCAUUUUAUGAAGGCAAAUAUGUCGAUAUCUGGGGAAAUGCUUUAGGUACAGUAAUUGUUUUCUUUGAACAUCCCAUGUUGGAUGUUGCAGUAUUCUUGUGCACAACUACUCGACUAUCAAAAAGUGUUGAUGUGUUUAUAUUUCCUCCUUCCCUCUUCCUUGGUUUGUUUUUUCAAGACCUUAAAUGCUUUGCAGCAGUAACAGAAAGCUGUAUAGUCCCAUUGAUGUAAGGACAAGUUCCACAAUCAAAUUUCACAGAUAAUACCCGUGUGUUAAUGAUGUUAUGGCAAGAUCUAAAAUUUGUGAUUUGUUUUAUUGGAGUUGCACUAUAUCUAGAUGCACUGUAAUUGAGACAAGUUGUUCCUGCCAAGUUGAGAUUGGUGCUGGGAAAUGUGAGAGAAUUAUGAGAAGCCAAUAUCAUAAAAUAAAAAAAUAAAAAGAAGAAGAAGAACACUCAAAUAAAAAGCAGAUCAAAGUUCGAGUGCUGCUAGGCUUGCUGUACC
rnacentral:misc_RNA from 1 species